CAUUUUUUGGAAGUAAACAAAUAUUGAAGAAAGUGUUGUGCCUUCACAGAAUUUAAAUUGGCAUUAGGAAUAGAUUUCCUUGAUUUAGUAAUGAUAUUGCUCAUAGAAAUUGAUAAUGUGAAGAAUAACAAUACAGGAACAUAGAAUAACAAGAAAGAAAUUCUAGCAACAAGUUAGGUUAUGAGAUAAAUUUUAUUUAUAUAGUUUGUUUAAAGAGUUUAGUUUGAAAAAAAGGUAAAACAAUUAUUAUUGUCCAGGUCAUAUUUGAUAACUGUUGUUAAUUGAUAACAUAUUACAGGGACACAGUAAAAAGACAAAACAUUUAGAAAGAGAAAUGUUUGCAAUGGAUAUUAAUAAAUUCUAGCCAAUUUGUACGAUGUACAAUGCAGGCAAUAUUUCUGCCUCCUAACGCACUAUUCGCGUAAAAGAAGAUGUGGGUAUUGUAUUUAUACCUAGAACAGAUUUAUUAUUAGUUGGCUAGUGUGUUAGUAGGAUAGCCAUUGGUAGUUAUAAAGUAUGAAGUCGUCAGGUAUUAAUAAUAGGAAUUGAUCAAAGCUUAUACAUUUAUUGUGAUAUUUAUAUUGUGAAUUUAAGUAGUUAGAGUUUUGGUUGUUUAAUAAACGAAUUAAUGUGCUUA